rnacentral:rRNA from 1 species
AACGAACGCUGGCGGCAGGCUUAACACAUGCAAGUCGAACGGGCCCUUCGGUGCUAGUGGCAGACGGGUGAGUAACACGUGGGAACGUACCUUUCGGUUCGGAAUAAUCCAGGGAAACUUGUACUAAUACCGGAUACGCCCUUCGGGGGAAAGAUUCAUCGCCGUUGGAUCGGCCCGCGUCUGAUUAGCUAGUUGGUGGGGUAAUAGCCCACCAAGGCGACGAUCCGUAGCUGGUCUGAGAGGAUGAUCAGCCACAUUGGGACUGAGACACGGCCCAGACUCCUACGGGAGGCAGCAGUGGGGAAUAUUGGACAAUGGGCGAAAGCCUGAUCCAGCCAUGCCGCGUGAGUGAUGAAGGCCUUAGGGUUGUAAAGCUCUUUUGUCCGGGAAGAUAAUGACAGUACCGGAAGAAUAAGCCCCGGCUAACUUCGUG